CACUUAGUUGUGUUGUUUGCGGCCAGUUUGAUCGGACAGAAAGUUAUGGAUUAUAACAACGAGAUUUUUAGGUUGAUAUACUGUACGUCGUGGUAUUUAAUGCCUGUACCAUCACAAAAACUAAUUUUGUUUUUAAUGCAAAAAGCUGGCAAAGAAUUUGAAUUAAAAAUUGGUUUAAUAUUUGUGGGAAAGAUGGAAAAUUUUACCAUGCUUCUUAAUCAUGCGCUGUCAUAUGUCACUGUGAUGUAUUCUGUUCAGUAAGAAAAAGAAAAAGGACACUGUUAAAAUAUAAACUUCUAUUUUCCCAUAGAUGCGCACGUAAAAAAAUAAAAAAGUAUUUUGCAUUGA